rnacentral:lncRNA from 1 species
UGUGAAUACUGAAAAAGAGUUUUUAUGAAAUUCAUAAAUAAAUUUGAGUCAAAUCAAUCUAGUAUAUGACUGACGAUGAGAUUUGACGAGUUCUCUAUAAUCUCUGUCUAGUUAGGACUCACGAUAGAAGGACUCUAUCACACGAUAACUGCACCUAGAGGUUCAUUCUUCUAUUCUGUUAGGUUGUCAUUACAUGCUGCUAGACGUCACUGAUGAAUUAUGAGAACUCAUUAGGAUUAUUUUUUCGAACCCACGAUCCUUAUUGGGGUGAGUUGGAACAAUUCCAACCCAUGGAAAAGAGUUUCGAUGAUAUCAUGAUGGAGAUCACAGUAUGUCUCACUAUCAAAUAGAAUAAAAUCUGAGGG